UUACCUACGGGAGGCAGCAGUGAGGAAUAUUGGUCAAUGGGCGGAAGCCUGAACCAGCCAAGUCGCGUGAGGGAAUAAGGCCCUACGGGUCGUAAACCUCUUUUGCCGGGGAGCAAGGGCGGGGACGUGUCCCGGCCCGGAGAGUACCCGGAGAAAAAGCAUCGGCUAACUCCGUGCCAGCAGCCGCGGUAAUACGGAGGAUGCGAGCGUUAUCCGGAUUUAUUGGGUUUAAAGGGUGCGUAGGCGGGCUUUUAAGCCAGCGGUAAAAAUUCGGGGCUCAACCCCGGCCGGUCGUUGAAACUGGG
rnacentral:rRNA from 1 species